AUACCUUUCUCGGCCUUUUGGCUAAGAUCAAGUGUAGUAUCUGUUCUUAUCAGUUUAAUAUCUAAUACGUGGACCAUCGGUCCACAUGAUAUUAAAUUAAUUUUUUUCUUGGGGGAGGGCCGAUAACAAUAGCUUGCUAUUGGGGUCUUCAUGCAUCGCCCAUGCGUUGCACUACUGCAAGGGCCUGGCGCACCCCUA
rnacentral:snRNA from 1 species